rnacentral:rRNA from 1 species
AGAAUCAACGCUGGCGGCGUGCCUAACACAUGCAAGUCGAACGAGAAAGUCCGCAAGGAUGAGUAAAGUGGCGACCGGGUGAGUAACACGUGACUAACCUACCUUUUAGUGGGGGAUAACUCCGGGAAACCGGGCUAAUACCGCAUAACAUCGCAAGAUCAAAGCAGCAAUGCGCUGGAAGAGGGGGUCGCGGCUGAUUAGCUAGUUGGCGGGGUAAUGGCCCACCAAGGCGAAGAUCGGUAUCCGGCCUGAGAGGGCGCACGGACACACUGGAACUGAAACACGGUCCAGACUCCUACGGGGGGCAGCAGUGGGGAAUUUGCGCAAUGGGGGAAACCCUGACGCAGCAACGCCGCGUGGAGGAUGAAGUCCCUUGGGACGUAAACUCCUUUCGACCAAGACGAUAAUGACGGUACUGGUGGAAGAGCACCGGCUAACUCUGCGCCAGCAGCCGC